rnacentral:rRNA from 1 species
UUUGGUCAUUAGGCAAUGUGGUGUUUAGGUUGGUCCUCAGAGGCACUGCUCCACUCUGAGUCCAGCAAUGAGUAUGGUAGCAUGGACAUGGCCCAUUGAGGGUGAAAGGCCCGUAAGAGUGGAGUUCAGGCAGGCCAGUGCCUCUCUGGAUUGACCAAAGAGUCGGGUUGUUUGAGAAUGCAGCCCAAAGUGGGUGGUAAACUCCAUCCCAGGCUAAAUACAAGCACGAGUCCGAUAGCAAACAAGUACCGUGAGGGAAAGUUGAAAAGUACUUUGAAGAGAGAGUAAACAGUGCGUGAAACCGCUCAGAGGUAAACGGGUGGAGUUGAACUGCAUGCUCCGUGAAUUCAGCUGGUGAGAUUGUUGUGGGCUUGGUCAUGUGGGGUGGACAAUGAGGUAUGCUUAGCUGCAUGUCCCGGCCGGCUGGUUGGGAUGCGCGAUACGCUCAUCAUGCGUUGCGCGCCUCUGCUGUUCAUCUGCCCUCUCUCCAGUGCAUUUUCGCGGAGUGUUCACCAAGACCGGCGUUGCUGUCCGGCUGCUUUAGUUAAACCGGUCUUACGCGUCCUUGUGGCGUUGUUUGGUCGGGACGGCAGGUAGCCCGUUGGCUUGCUUUGCAUGCUUUCGUGUGUAAUCAGCUGACUAAAGCGGGACUGUGCAGUACGUCGGAGCUGGCGGCCAGUUGUGCCUGCUCGUGCGUCAUGCCUUCCGAAGCAUCCUGUUCUGAUCGCCAUGUUGCCUGUCUCGGCAGGUCUGGUGGUGGACAGGGUUCUAUUGGUUGGUGGUACCUCGGGUAGCA